rnacentral:rRNA from 1 species
GUUAGACGAACGGUCUGGAAAGUCCGACGAUACAGGGUGAUAGUCCCGUAGUUGACGACGUGUGUUCAGUGAAAUCGAGUAGGGCGGGACACGUGAUAUCCUGUCUGAAUAUGGGGGGACCAUCCUCCAAGGCUAAAUACUACUGACUGACCGAUAGUGAACCAGUACCGUGAGGGAAAGGCGAAAAGAACCCCUGUGAGGGG